UACGUAGGGUGCAAGCGUUGUCCGGAAUUAUUGGGCGUAAAGAGCUCGUAGGCGGUUUGUCGCGUCUGCUGUGAAAACUCGGGGCUUAACUCCGGGCCUGCAGUGGGUACGGGCAGACUUGAGUUCGGUAGGGGAGACUGGAAUUCCUGGUGUAGCGGUGAAAUGCGCAGAUAUCAGGAGGAACACCGGUGGCGAAGGCGGGUCUCUGGGCCGAUACUGACGCUGAGGAGCGAAAGCGUGGGGAGCGAACAGG
rnacentral:rRNA from 1 species